AUUGAACGCUGGCGGCAGGCCUAACACAUGCAAGUCGAGCGGAUGAAGGGAGCUUGCUCCUGGAUUCAGCGGCGGACGGGUGAGUAAUGCCUAGGAAUCUGCCUGGUAGUGGGGGAUAACGUCCGGAAACGGGCGCUAAUACCACAUACGUCCUGAGGGAGAAAGUGGGGGAUCUUCGGACCUCACGCUAUCAGAUGAGCCUAGGUCGGAUUAGCUAGUUGGUGGGGUAAAGGCCUACCAAGGCGACGAUCCGUAACUGGUCUGAGAGGAUGAUCAGUCACACUGGAACUGAGACACGGUCCAGACUCCUACGGGAGGCAGCAGUGGGGAAUAUUGGACAGUGGGCGAAAGCCUGAUCCAGCCAUGCCGCGUGUGCGAAGAAGGUCUUCGGAUUGUAAAGCACUUUAAGUUGGGAGGAAGGGCAGUAAGUUAAUACCUUGCUGUUUUGACGUUACCAACAGAAUAAGCACCGGCUAACUUCGUG
rnacentral:rRNA from 1 species